rnacentral:rRNA from 1 species
AACGAACGCUGGCGGCGUGCCUAACACAUGCAAGUCGAACGUGAUUAGAGAGCUUGCUCUUUAUGAAAGUGGCGCACGGGUGAGUAACGCGUAGAUAAUCUACCUGAUGGAUCGGGAUAACACUUCGAAAGGGGUGCUAAUACCGGAUAAGCCCACGGGGUCCUUGGACUCUGCGGGAAAAGGAGGGGCUCGCAAGACCUUCCGUCAUCAGAUGAGUCUGCGUACCAUUAGCUAGUUGGUAGGGUAAAGGCCUACCAAGGCGACGAUGGUUAGCUGGUCUGAGAGGAUGAUCAGCCACACUGGAACUGAGACACGGUCCAGACUCCUACGGGAGGCUG